rnacentral:lncRNA from 1 species
AGGUCUUGUUUAGUUGGAGAAUUUUUUUUCGGUUGGGCUACUGUAGCACUUUCGUUUGUAUUUGACGAAUUUUAUCUAAUCAUGGAUUAAUUGGGCUCAAAAGUUUCGUCUCGCAAAUUUUAGUCAAACUGUGCAAUUAGUUAUUAUUUUUAUCAAUAUUUAAUGCUUUAUGUAUGUGUCUAAAGAUUCGAUGUGACAGAGAAUUUUGAAAAAUUUUAGAAACUAAACGAGGCCUAAUAUUCAUAUCAACGUAGGUUUGCUUCAACUCUUUCAAAAAAAAAAAAGAAACAGGGCCUACGUACAAGUUGACAAGUUGUACUACACCAUAGCAGGUGCUAGCUAGCAGGGGCACACACACACGCGACGCAGGAGUUGUACCAGCAG